rnacentral:misc_RNA from 1 species
GAGAGAGAGAGAGGAGGCCAAAGCUUUUUCCGGCAUUUAAUGGCAAUUCCAGCAACAUUUGGAAGAGUGAAUCUGUCUAGUAGAUUUUCCUUGCCUUUGACAGUUGCUUCACACCUAUAAUGUCACUUGACAAUCACUGGAGAAGGAGAUCAACAUUAAUGAAGACCAAAGGUUUCGAGCACCGAAACUCACAAACCAUUGAGCUUAUCAGCGGAGACUGGCAUAAGAAUGCUCAGCAGAUCGAGAGGCGCCUAGGGAUGUGAUCGGAAAUGCCAAUCGGCGAUGGUGGUCAAUGGUGGUAAGAGCAAGUACCCACAGAACAAUGAUUUCAUUAUUUGUUCUUCCUUUCUGUCUGAAGCAUAAUCUAUGGAUACAUUGUCUAUGGGUUGUGUAUGUCUCAUGCGGAAAUAAAGUUGAUUUAUGGUCAGAAAUCAU